GGUUCCAUGGUAUAAUGGUUAGCACUAAAGUCUCUGAAACUUAUGAUCCGAGGUCAAAUCUCGGUGGAACCU
rnacentral:tRNA from 1 species